rnacentral:rRNA from 1 species
AUGACGCUGGGAACCCGUUCGGCGGAUGGGUGAGUAACACGUGGGUAACCUGCCCUAAAGUCUGGGAUACCACUUGGAAACAGGUGCUAAUACCGGAUAACAACAAUAGCUGCAUGGCUAUUGCUUAAAAGGCGGCGAAAGCUGUCGCUAAAGGAUGGACCCGCGGUGCAUUAGCUAGUUGGUAAGGUAAUGGCUUACCAAGGCGACGAUGCAUAGCCGAGUUGAGAGACUGAUCGGCCACAUUGGGACUGAGACACGGCCCAAACUCCUACGGGAGGCAGCAGUAGGGAAUCUUCCACAAUGGGCGAAAGCCUGAUGGAGCAACGCCGCGUGAGUGAAGAAGGUUUUCGGAUCGUAAAGCUCUGUUGUUGGUGAAGAAGGAUAGAGGUAGUAACUGGCCCCUAUUUGACGGUAAUCAACCAGAAAGUCACGGCUAACUACGUGCCAGCAGCCGCGGUAAUACGUAGGUGGCAAGCGUUGUCCGGAUUUAUUGGGCGUAAAGCGAGCGCAGGCGGAAAGAUAAGUCUGAUGUGAAAGCCCCCGGCUUAACCGAGGAAUUGCAUCGGAAACUGUGUUUCUUGAGUGCAGAAGAGGAGAGUGGAACUCCAUGUGUAGCGGUGGAAUGCGUAGAUAUAUGGAAGAACACCAGUGGCGAAGGCGGCUCUCUGGUCUGUAACUGACGCUGAG